UUCAAGGGGUGCCCAUGGUUGUGGGCUGAGAUGAUACCCUCUAACCUGAUCCGGGUUAUGCCGGCGUAGGGAUGGAAAUA
rnacentral:ncRNA from 1 species